rnacentral:rRNA from 1 species
UACGUAGGGUGCAAGCGUUGUUCGGAAUUAUUGGGCGUAAAGAGCUCGUAGGCGGUUUGUCGCGUCUGCCGUGAAAGUCCGGGGCUCAACUCCGGAUCUGCGGUGGGUACGGGCAGACUAGAGUGAUGUAGGGGAGACUGGAAUUCCUGGUGUAGCGGUGAAAUGCGCAGAUAUCAGGAGGAACACCGAUGGCGAAGGCAGGUCUCUGGGCCACUACUGACGCUGAGAAGCGAAAGCAUGGGGAGCGAACAGG